GCUAUAGAUGAAGAGGAUUUGGUUGCAUAUAUUUUGAAUGGAUUAGAUGAGGAUUUUGAACCUGUUGUUUCUGCUAUUGUGGCAUGGAAUGAAUCAGUCACAAUGGUGGAAGUAUACUCUUAGCUUCUUAAUUUUGAUA
rnacentral:snoRNA from 1 species